rnacentral:rRNA from 1 species
CCUACGGGUGGCAGCAGUGGGGAAUAUUGGACAAUGGGGGGAACCCUGAUCCAGCCAUGCCGCGUGUGUGAAGAAGGCCCUCGGGUUGUAAAGCACUUUCAGUGAGGAAGAACGCCUGGUGGUUAAUACCCAUCAGGAAAGACAUCACUCACAGAAGAAGCACCGGCUAACUCCGUGCCAGCAGCCGCGGUAAUACGGAGGGUGCGAGCGUUAAUCGGAAUUACUGGGCGUAAAGCGCGCGUAGGUGGCUUGAUAAGCCGGUUGUGAAAGCCCCGGGCUCAACCUGGGAACGGCAUCCGGAACUGUCAAGCUAGAGUGCAGGAGAGGAAGGUAGAAUUCCCGGUGUAGCGGUGAAAUGCGUAGAGAUCGGGAGGAAUUCCAGUGGCGAAGGCGGCCUUCUGGACUGACACUGACACUGAGGUGCGAAAGCGUGGGUAGCAAACAGGAUUAGAUACCCUGGUAGUC